rnacentral:rRNA from 1 species
AACGAUGACUUUUGUGCUUGCACAGAAUGAUUAGUGGCGAACGGGUGAGUAACACGUGAGUAACCUGCCCCUGACUCUGGGAUAAGCCUGGGAAACUGGGUCUAAUACCGGAUAUGCACCGUUGACCGCAUGGUUUUUGGUGGAAAGAUUUUUUGGUCAGGGAUGGACUCGCGGCCUAUCAGCUUGUUGGUGAGGUAAUGGCUCACCAAGGCGACGACGGGUAGCCGGCCUGAGAGGGUGACCGGCCACACUGGGACUGAGACACGGCCCAGACUCCUACGGGAGGCAGCAGUGGGGAAUAUUGCACAAUGGGCGAAAGCCUGAUGCAGCGACGCCGCGUGAGGGAUGACGGCCUUCGGGUUGUAAACCUCUUUCAGUAGGGAAGAAGCGAAAGUGACGGUACCUGCAGAAGAAGCGCCGGCUAACUACGUGCCAGCAGCCGCGGUAAUACGUAGGGCGCAAGCGUUAUCCGGAAUUAUUGGGCGUAAAGAGCUCGUAGGCGGUUUGUCGCGUCUAUCGUGAAAGUCCGAGGCUCAACCUCGGAUCUGCGGUGGGUACGGGCAGACUAGAGUGAUGUAGGGGAGACUGGAAUUCCUGGUGUAGCGGUGAAAUGCGCAGAUAUCAGGAGGAACACCGAUGGCGAAGGCAGGUCUCUGGGCAUUAACUGACGCUGAGGAGCGAAAGCAUGGGGAGCGAACAGGAUUAGAUACCCUGGUAGUCCAUGCCGUAAACGUUGGGCACUAGGUGUGG